ACUGUAAUGCAGCCUCCCCAUAGUGGGGAGCGGGUUGUAAGCCCCUAAUGCAGAACGACAGG
rnacentral:ribozyme from 2 species